rnacentral:misc_RNA from 1 species
GGAAGUAAAAGUCGAACAAGGUUUCCGUAGGUGAACCUGCGGAAGGAUCAUUACUGAGUUAAAAGAAGGGGGGGUGGAUGUGAGCUUUUGCAAGCAUUCCCCUCUCCUUUUCUUCUCUUCACCCUUUGUUAUCAUUUUCCAUGUUCCUUUGGCACGGCAUGUCUGUGCCAAAGUAAUUUAUUAAGCACUUUGUUAUCCAAUAAUUGGGAUAUCUAUCGUCUGAUUUUUAUAGCUUUUGAAUAAGUAACAAAACUUUCAACAACGGAUCUCUUGGUUCUG